AGCGGAGGGAUCAUUACCGAGUUUACAACUCCCAAACCCAAUGUGAACGUUACCAAACUGUUGCCUCGGCGGGAACUCAUGCCCCGGGUGCGUCGCAGCCCCGGACCAAGGCGCCCGCCGGAGGACCAACCAAAACUCUUUUUGUAUACCCCCUCGCGGGUUUUUUAUAAUCUGAGCCUUCUCGGCGCCUCUCGUAGGCGUUUCGAAAAUGAAUCAAAACUUUCAACAACGGAUCUCUUGGUUCUGGCAUCGAUGAAGAACGCAGCGAAAUGCGAUAAGUAAUGUGAAUUGCAGAAUUCAGUGAAUCAUCGAAUCUUUGAACGCACAUUGCGCCCGCCAGUAUUCUGGCGGGCAUGCCUGUCCGAGCGUCAUUUCAACCCUCGAACCCCUCCGGGGGGUCGGCGUUGGGGAUCGGCCCUCCUCUUGCGGGGGCCGUCUCCGAAAUACAGUGGCGGUCUCGCCGCAGCCUCUCCUGCGCAGUAGUUUGCACACUCGCAUCGGGAGCGCGGCGCGUCCACAGCCGUUAAACACCCAACUUCUGAAAUGUUGACCUCGGAUCAGGUAGGAAUACCCGCUGAACU
rnacentral:rRNA from 1 species